UACCCUUAUUUGCCAGCGAUUCGGUCGGGAACUAUAAGGGGACUGCCGGUGAUAAACCGGAGGAAGGUGAGGACGACGUCAAGUCAUCAUGGCCCUUACGCAUAGGGCUACACACGUGCUACAAUGGAGAAUACAGACGGACGCUAAGCCGCGAGGUGGUGCCAAUCCUAGAAAAUUCUUCGUAGUCCGGAUUGGAGUCUGCAACUCGACUCCAUGAAGUCGGAAUCGCUAGUAAUCGCGAAUCAGCAUGUCGCGGUGAAUACGUUC
rnacentral:rRNA from 1 species